rnacentral:rRNA from 1 species
UACGUAGGGACCAAGCGUUGUUCGGAUUUACUGGGCGUAAAGGGCGCGUAGGCGGCGCGGUAAGUCACUUGUGAAAUCUCUGAGCUUAACUCAGAACGGCCAAGUGAUACUGCAGUGCUAGAGUGUGGAAGGGGCAAUCGGAAUUCUUGGUGUAGCGGUGAAAUGCGUAGAUAUCAAGAGGAACACCUGAGGUGAAGACGGGUUGCUGGGCCAACACUGACGCUGAGGCGCGAAAGCCAGGGGGGCAAACGGG